GCGCGGACAGAUGAGCCGAUGUCCGAUUAGCUAGUUGGCGGGGUAAUGGCCCACCAAGGCGACGAUCGGUAGCUGGUCUGAGAGGAUGAUCAGCCACACUGGGACUGAGACACGGCCCAG
rnacentral:rRNA from 1 species